rnacentral:tRNA from 1 species
GCCACCCUAGCUCAAUUGGCAGAGCAACUGUUUUGUAAACAGUAGGUUAUCAGUUCGAUUCUGAUGGGUGGCU